AUUUCGAUUGCAGUAGGGUUGUUUAGCAGUGAACAAACAACCCAUUUAAUGGACGGGCCUGAUCGCUGCCCAUAUUGACAUGUCCAUUCUAUUUGUUGUGUUUUACUCUUAAGCAGCCCUUCUCCGAUCCACCU
rnacentral:pre_miRNA from 1 species